rnacentral:RNase_P_RNA from 1 species
UAGAGAGGAAUAAAUGGCUGCCGGGAACUACUAGUUCCUGAGGAAGGUCCUUACUUUCGAGCAAGCGAUAUAUCGAAAGGUAUCAGGAGGAAUUCCUGGCUCUGAGAAUAGAAACGAACGCGAGUACAUCGAUUUAACUGAUGAUGUUGGGCUUCCUUUUGGAAACCCUGCUGAAAAGAUGUAUGGAAGCGAUGAAACGACUCAUCAUCGUGAAAGUAAGCUCAAAUUGGCUCCGAUGACUUGCUAGGAGGAGCGGGUUGGGUGCGAAGAUUGAUGCCAUGAGAGGAGUACAUCAUUUGGUGUUCCUCGAAACAGAAGGAGGACUAUUUUCCUCUCUA